rnacentral:piRNA from 5 species
CAUAACCCAGAGGUCGAUGGAUCG